rnacentral:rRNA from 1 species
CAAAUCCGGCACUCGUUAGGCUGAGCUGUGAUGGGGAGAGGAAAUUGUUUCCUUGAGUCGUUGAUUUCACACUGCCGAGAAAAGCCUCUAGAUAGAUAACAGGUGCCCGUACCGCAAACCGACACAGGUAGUCAAGAUGAGAAUUCUAAGGUGAGCGAGCGAACUCUCGUUAAGGAACUCGGCAAAAUGACCCCGUAACUUCGGGAGAAGGGGUGCUCUUUAGGGUGCAAGCCCAGAAGAGCCGCAGUGAAUAGGCCCAAGCGACUGUUUAUCAAAAACACAGGUCCGUGCGAAGUCGUAAGACGAUGUAUACGGACUGACGCCUGCCCGGUGCUGGAAGGUUAAGAGGACCGGUUAGC